ensembl:lncRNA
UCAUUUUAUUUACUGUGAUGUUAAAAUCUUAAGUUCAGUGUGACUUGAAAGACUUUUAGAACAUGUGUUUCCAUGGAGUUAUGUUCUAUCUGAGGUAUCCUUCAGCUAGAUGUCGAUCACAUUAAGGUCUCGGCCGUGUUCGUCCCUUAUUGGCACCAAGUCCAUCUUACUACUUAUGCUAAUCCAUGUUAACAGCAGUUAACCUCUGUGAGCAACAGCGGCGAGGAGGACGUCCAACAAGCUCGGUGGGAACAGGGAAGCGGUCCAAUCUGGUAAAAGUGGGCGGAGCCCAGGAGGUGUUUCAGGCAGACCUACGUGUGUGUCACAGCAGAGCAGAACUCUCUGGAGGGUGUUAUGUUCAUAGCUGGGAUGUGACAGGAUGUUUGUCCCACAGGCCCGCAUCAAGUCCAAAAUAAUACAAAAAGGCUGAAAAUAGCAGAGCUGAGAUUUGGAGGAACAGAUUGUUUGCUUUGUGCGUCACUGCGAUGUGUGUACUAACAACCUGAGUACACACUGGCCCUUUUCCACAGAUGUCAUGUGUGCUGUGGACAAACGUUGAGUGCAAACACAGUGUUAACAUUCUGAUGGACUGAUGGACUGAACAAACGAGGGGUCAAAUAAAAAGUCGCAAAACACAAAUACUAAAAUAUUAUUUCAACUUUUGAACCAUUAUUAUUGUUAUUGUACCAACUUUUGGACUUCUUAGUGUUUUAUGACGUUAAUCACUUUAAAGCCAACAAAAACCUCUGUGUAGCCGGCGGUUGUAGACCAGCUAAUCAACUUAAUCAAAGAUGUCACCCACAGUCAUCUUUGUGACAUUGUCACCGAGGGCGGAUCGGUUCUGGCAGUAAUUUGUCGGCACGCCGGGUAUUCACUCGCACGUCGUCUUUUUAAUGUCCGCCGUUGCCCUGUUAUCAAGACCCAGAGACAGCUGUGUCGUCGGGAAUAGAACCGCUUCGGCGACACGCCUACGGCAAAACACCUGAUGUGCAAUGUGGCGUUCGUUCACCUUCAGAGAGGCCGGCUAAUUCCUGCUGUCUUUGAUGCUGCUGCCGAUGCACCACUCACUGGCAGAUGGGAGCCAAAGGGUGACGCUCAGAGGCAGAGAACACCAACGCCUCCUGCUGCCUGUUAACCACAAAUGAGUGCCGAGAUGGUCGUCCGUGCCAUCUUCAGCCGACAUUCUUGUACCUUUCUCUUUCUUUAUUGGGAGAACUGUGUCUCUGGGUGCUGUAAGUACAGUUUGUUGCACUGCCGGCAUCCCCUGCGUCUCUAAUCAGCCGUACUGAUGGGGAAUGUCUCAGCGAAGGCGAGGACCAGAGAGCCAAACAGAAGGCGUUCGUUGGAUUGUUUAGGGACAGUGUGCCUAAAAGGCCUUUCGCUCUGGCAUCUGGACAACUGGGCCACCUCCAGGUUUUGGGUCGCACAGUGUGUUUGGUUGGCAGCUCAGCCAGCGGCAACAAACCGGGGAAGGUAAACGAAAAGCGCCACUCGUCGCUUCUCAUAUGCCGGAAUGAAAGUACGCUUUUGGGUAGACCGUGUCCGGUUUGCGUCAGUGGGGAUAACGCCGCGAGAGAUGAACUCGUAUUGUGGUUUCAUACAUGAAGAUUUAAAAAAAUGUUGGAACAUUUUUAAAAAGAGAAACCCGUCUUGCAGGAGCGCUGCUGGAUGCGUGGACACCGGAGUGACAGUUUCAUCUUUUGAAGCCCGUAGUGAAAAGGGAUAAUGAGAGGAUAACUAAGACAUUUCUGUUUCCUGAAACUGUGGUCCAACCGGCUGAGAAUCCCUCCUGUCUGGUUUGUGCUGAUGAGCAAAUGCAGUCGGUAACCUAGAUAGUUGCCCAGGAAGACCUUCAUUAAGGAGCCGUCUCUCAGCAGCAGAAAAAUACCUUCUUUCGCUUCUGCGUAUCCCUUAGGACACAAACAGGUGUGUGAGCAAAAUAAUUAUGCAUGGCAUGUUUGCUUUAAUGUCUUCUGCACAGCUUCCUGGGACUCAGUGAUGAAGAUAUAAAUAUAUUUUACCGCUUUGGAUGUGAUCGCUUCCUGUUUUUUUUAAACAUAUAGAAGGAGCGAACCCAUUGUGUUGGCUUGUGUUCUGUCCACAUAAUGAACCAUUAAACAAUGGCUGGUUUAGUCACGUUAGCGUAAUGCCUCCUCUUCGCAUCUCAAGAUAUUUAAAUAGAUUUGGACAAAGACUGACCCCAAACUUCCAGCAAUCAAACCCUAAGAAGAAUUUUCUACUCUCUAAAACCUUGACAAAAAAUAACAUUGUGUUGUUUAGUGUGUACAGGUCCUUUUAAUCCAUGGAAUAUUACUCAAAGAAGUCGACAGCAAGGGCUGCAGUAAGUGAUGAAAGGAUGGAGUCGUUUUCUCAUCGGGUUGACGUUUUGUUUAUCAAAACAAAUAAAACAGAAAGUCGAGUGAGGAAUGUUGAGCCAGAUGUACGGAAGUAACACAUCGGCGCACCAUCACAGUGUGCAUUGUCAUCCUGAUGAUUAAACUAUAUCGUGUACCAGAAUGGUUCCAUUAAUUAUCUCUAACCUUGACCAGAGACAGCAAUAGAUGUUCAAGUUAAAGACACAUUUCUUUCCUCUUGGAACUGCAGAGUAAAAAACAACAAUGACCGCGUAGCACCGAGGAUUUAAAAAAAACAACAUAUAUAUCUCACAUUGGCCCCUUGAAAGAACCGCAGCCGGUGAGAAGUUGUUUGUCCAUUUGCAUAUGACCUUGUGGAGUGUUUGGGUGUAGGACAGAAAGGUGCUCUAAUCAGACAGCUUGAUUAAACCUGUGCAGGCCCCCGUUGCAUGAGGGGCUUUCAGCUCACAUGCACAAAGGUGCACUCAUUUGAGAAUCCCCUAUCAUGGUAAAUGAGUGUCAGUCAAGGUCUGAGAUGCACUGUAUCAGUCACAGUGUCUUCUCAUUAAUCCUAAAUUCCCACAAUGCCUUCUGUGGGGGUUUUUUCAAAUGGGAAACGUAAUAUAUUUGACAAAUGUUUAGACCCCAUUGUUGAAUAUGUGUUUAUGAUGACAGCUAA